GGGGACGCCAGGACUCACAGUCUCCUAUUUGCUGCAAAUAUACCUUACAUUUGGCUCAGAGAAGCUCUGCAGUGGGAGUCCUCUUUUCUUUCCCAGGCGCAGGCAAUGGAAGGCUGCACUGCCUAAAGAGAAUUUACAUGAUGAAGCCGACUAGAAGCCCAUCUGCUGUUUAUUGUCACCAUGUGCUGGCAAUUCUAAAUAUGUCAACGCUAAAUGCUCCUCCUCUGCUGUGGCAGACCAUUCUACUGCCGCUCCCUCGAUGAGGUGUUCCUGCUCCUACAUGCUUCUCCAUCUGUGCUUUGGAUCGCAUCCCCUAUCACAUUUUCAAAGACUUGAGGCAUCCAGCAACCUCUUCUCUCUCAAUUGACCCUUUAAAAGGAAGAGUAACACACAAGCAGAGCUCCUCCUAAAACAAAGUGCACUGGGACCAAGAGGCCAGGGAGAGCCAACCCUUCCAGGUCUCUGCUGGUGUGGGAGAUGCAGGAAACGUCUCUGCCUGUGGUGGACGAGCCCCAGGAAGAGAAGAACAAAUCUCCCCC
rnacentral:lncRNA from 1 species